UUCUAAUGUGGCAGAGUAGUGCAAUGGAUUUAAACCCCAUUCAUAAAAUUAUAUUUUCUUUAGA
rnacentral:tRNA from 1 species